GAAUUCCUACGGGAGGCAGCAGUGGGGAAUAUUGCACAAUGGGGGAAACCCUGAUGCAGCAACGCCGCGUGAGUGAUGACGGCCUUCGGGUUGUAAAGCUCUGUCUUCAGGGACGAUAAUGACGGUACCUGAGGAGGAAGCCACGGCUAACUACGUGCCAGCAGCCGCGGUAAUACGUAGGUGGCGAGCGUUGUCCGGAUUUACUGGGCGUAAAUGGAGCGUGGGCGGACUUUUAAGUGAGAUGUGAAAUACUCGGGCUCAACUUGAGUGCUGCAUUUCAAACUGGCAGUCUAGAUU
rnacentral:rRNA from 1 species